rnacentral:misc_RNA from 1 species
GAUGAAGAACGUAGCGAAAUGCGAUAAGUAAUGCGAAUUGCAGAAUUCCAGUGAGUCAUCGAAUCUUUGAACGCACAUUGCGCCCUUUGGUAUUCCGAAGGGCAUGCCUGUUCGAGCGUCAUUAUCACCCCUCAAGCCCUCGGCUUGGUGUUGGACGGUUUGGUGGAGGCCCCCUCGGGGGCUCCUGCCCCUCCCAAAGACAAUGACGGCGGCCUCGUUGGACCCCCGGUACACUGAGUUCUUCACGGGACACGUAUCGGACACAUGGGUUUACGGGACACGGUCUGCCUCCCCUCAAGGGAGAAUCUUUCUAAGGUUGACCUCGGAUCAGGUAGGGAUACCCGCUGAACUUAAGCAUACAAUAAGCGGAGGA